rnacentral:rRNA from 1 species
UACGUAGGGUGCAAGCGUUAAUCGGAAUUACUGGGCGUAAAGCGUGCGCAGGCGGCUUUGCAAGACAGAUGUGAAAGCCCCGGGCUCAACCUGGGAACUGCAUUUGAAACUGGCGGGCUUGAGUGUGGCAGAGGGGGGUGGAAUUCCGCGUGUAGCAGUGAAAUGCGUAGAGAUGCGGAGGAACACCGAUGGCGAAGGCAGCCCCCUGGGCCAACACUGACGCUCAGGCACGAAAGCGUGGGGAGCAAACAGG